rnacentral:lncRNA from 1 species
CCAAUCUUCUUUGUUGUUGGCGUCCCGGCAGGUCCUCAUAUGGGCUUGGUCCUCGUCAAGAUCCCAAUCACCCAACUAAAUCCAAGCAAAACCACAUAAUCCAUCAUAAAAUUAGGUCAAAAUAUGGCAAUCACCUAACUAAAUCCAAAAAUUUCCAAAUUAAAUUAAAUAUUUGUUUAUCCACUGUCACAUCCCUGAAUCCCUAAUAGAGUAUAGCAAGUUUGUGCUCAUGUCUUCUUCAUUGCAUCCAAGUAAAUGAAAUGAAAAAAAACAA